GACGAACGCUGGCGGCGUGCUUAACACAUGCAAGUCGAGCGGUAAGGCCCCUCCGGGGGCACACGAGCGGCGAACGGGUGAGUAACACGUGAGCAACCUGCCCCUGACUCCGGGAUAAGCGGUGGAAACGCCGUCUAAUACCGGAUACGACCCUCCGGCUCAUGCCGUGGGGGGGGAAAGUUGUUUCGGUUGGGGAUGGGCUCGCGGCCUAUCAGCUUGUUGGGUGGGUAAAGGCUUACCAAGGCGAUACGGGUAGCCGGCCUGAGAGGGCGACCGGCCACACUGGGACUGAGACACGGCCCAGACGCCUGCGGGAGGCAGCAGUGGGGAAUCUUGCGCAAUGGGCGAAAGCCUGACGCAGCGACGCCGCGUGGGGGAUGACGGCCUUCGGGUUGUAAACUCCUUUUACCACUCACGCAGGCCCGGAGUGUUCUUCGGGUUGACGGUAGGUGGGGAAUAAGGACCGGCUAACUACGUGCCAGCCGCCGCGGUAA
rnacentral:rRNA from 1 species